AAGCAACAUAAUUAGUUCGCGUCCGAUCCCAACUAUAAUAGAUAGAUCAUUCGCUUCAUCAACAUCAUUGAACUCCUUUCAUCGGCUCACUGCCUCACCACCUUCAGCCUCAACCACCUGUGCAAAUGAUUUCUUAAUGUGUUCAAUGUAUUCUUCCUCCCAGUACCAACCUGUACAUCCGCCGGUACCGUCCCACUGAAAUUAAAAGAGAGAAUCAAAAGUUUAAUUAAUAUCAUUUAAAAAAAUAAGCACAUAUAUAAGCAAAUGUCUAGAAAUAACUCACAUUAUGAUCCGGACACUUUGUUUACUCCCUCUUUCGACACUUUGUACUUCAUCACAAUCUUCUGCCCACACUUGCCACAAGUAAUGAGAGGGAGUUCCGGCC
rnacentral:lncRNA from 1 species